UUUGAUCCUGGCUCAGGACGAACGCUGGCGGCGUGCCUAACACAUGCAAGUCGAACGGAGAUAUCCGCUGAUGAAGUACUUCGGUAAUGAUUCUUGGAUAUCUUAGUGGCGGACGGGUGAGUAACGCGUGAGCAACCUGCCUUUCAGAGGGGGAUAACGUUUGGAAACGAACGCUAAUACCGCAUGAUAUUAUUGAGCUGCAUGGCUUGAUAAUCAAAGGAGCAAUCCGCUGAAAGAUGGGCUCGCGUCCGAUUAGGUAGUUGGCGGGGCAACGGCCCACCAAGCCGACGAUCGGUAGCCGGACUGAGAGGUUGAACGGCCACAUUGGGACUGAGACACGGCCCAGACUCCUACGGGAGGCAGCAGUGAGGGAUAUUGGUCAAUGGGGGAAACCCUGAACCAGCAACGCCGCGUGAGGGAAGACGGUUUUCGGAUUGUAAACCUCUGUCCUCUGUGAAGAUAAUGACGGUAGCAGAGGAGGAAGCUCCGGCUAACUACGUG
rnacentral:rRNA from 1 species